rnacentral:pre_miRNA from 1 species
AGCUGGUAAAAUGGAACCAGAUCAACUAACCAACGGAUUUGGUCCCCUUCAACCAGCUU